AUUAAUUCAUGUUAACUUGAAUUUGAUCCCCAAAGAAUUCAGUGACUGUGUGUCUGAGAGUCUGAGACAAACCAGACCCUUGUACAUCAUAAUCAGAAUCAACAUAUACUACCAACGUGCACAUCAUAAUCAGAAUUGGAGUUCCAUACACAAAGUCUGUGAAGAGACUGAACUCACCAAGGUAGUAAUGGUAGAAAACUGGAUUGAAAUACUUAGCGCAUCCGCACCUGACUCGCCAGCAGUUGUUAUAAGCAACCCAAUCUAUCUGAAGACUCUCCAAAAUUCUAAAUCAAUAACAGAUGACAAGUAUCAAACACUUGGCGUGCACGGUCAAAUUCAAUCAGGAAGAGAGUAAUUCGGAAGCAUAGAAGGGACAGAUCUGGACCAAAAAGGGAGGAGGAGGCAAAAUCUUCAAGUCGAUUACUAGUAUUUACCUUCUGCUUCUAUGAAUCGGGUGUGGGAGUUGAUCUGCUUGCCACCUUGCCGUCCCAGUUGCUGAACAAGAUGCCUCUUGUGCCCCUCAACAACAAUGGUGGAAUCAGUUGGGCGAGCUAUGAUACUCGGGAGGGAGGAAAGGCCAUGAUUAAUCUGCUGGAGAAUGGAUCCUUCGUACAAGUGGAGGAAGGGAACUGCCUUUUGAUAUGGGGAGGGGAGGAGGACGUUUCCGAUUUUGCUGGCGUGGUUACCUCUUCGCGAGAGCUGAUGU
rnacentral:lncRNA from 1 species